AAGGCAGGGAAGAACUAUUAAGAAU
rnacentral:piRNA from 1 species